rnacentral:lncRNA from 1 species
CUUUCUUCAUUGACAGACUGGUGGACAACCAACACUGGCAUUGUCACACCCCAGAUGCAAGCAACUGGGGGGAAUCAGCAAGGCAGAGUAUAAAGGGCGCCACACCACCGCUCUCAGAUCUCCCAGGGUGCAGCUCAAAGAGCCUGACGGAAAGCCUCAUGGACACCGGCUCUGAUUAUCCUGUGCUUCAGCAGUAUGGUGAGGGCCCUUGUGGUGAAUCUGUGUGACAGAUCAGGCAGAAGGUGGGUUUGGCGCCCAGCCUCACGCUCGACCUGUGGGUGCAGCCAUCCUCCGUCAGGAGCUGCCACAACUUCUGCGACUCGUCUCCGUCUUGCAGGAACAUCAUCUCCCUGGCAACCGUCAGCAUCUGCCCGCUUGACGACAGCGUAACCAUGACAAGGAAACACAGAGAAACAAAAAUAAUUAGAUCCAAUUUACUAACACUUGAUAGUUCUGAGCAAAUCGAACAGCACAAAUAGUCACUACAUGACAACUCCUGGUUCCUGAAACAUCUCCAGCACAAUUAUGCAUGAGAAAACAAUGGCAAUAAACCUCAUUUACACUGUCA